UUAGAGUUUGAUUCUGGCUCAGGAUGAACGCUAGCGGCAGGCUUAACACAUGCAAGUCGAGGGGCAGCGAGAUCAGUGCUUGCACUGAUUGUCGGCGACCGGCGCACGGGUGCGUAACGCGUAUGCAACCUACCCAUUACAGGGGGAUAACACUGAGAAAUCGGUACUAAUACCCCAUAACAUCCAGGGAGGCAUCUUCUUGGGUUGAAAACUCCGGUGGUAAUGGAUGGGCAUGCGUUGUAUUAGUUAGUUGGUGGGGUAACGGCUCACCAAGACAACGAUACAUAGGGGGACUGAGAGGUUAACCCCCCACAUUGGUACUGAGACACGGACCAAACUCCUACGGGAGGCAGCAGUGAGGAAUAUUGGUCAAUGGACGCAAGUCUGAACCAGCCAUGCCGCGUGCAGGAAGACGGCUCUAUGAGUUGUAAACUGCUUUUGUACGAGGGUAAACGCAGAUACGCGUAUCUGUCUGAAAGUAUCGUACGAAUAAGGAUCGGCUAACUCCGUGCCAGCAGCCGCGGUAAUACGGAGGAUUCAAGCGUUAUCCGGAUUUAUUGGGUUUAAAGGGUGCGUAGGCGGUCGGAUAAGUUAGAGGUGAAAUCCCGGGGCUCAACUUCGGAAUUGCCUCUGAUACUGUUCGGCUAGAGAGUAGUUGCGGUAGGCGGAAUGUAUGGUGUAGCGGUGAAAUGCUUAGAGAUCAUACAGAACACCGAUUGCGAAGGCAGCUUACCAAGCUACUUCUGACGUUGAGGCACGAAAGCGUGGGGAGCAAACAGGAUUAGAUACCCUGGUAGUCCACGCAGUAAACGAUAAUAACUAGUUGUGGGCGAUACAGUGUCGGUGAGUAAAGCGAAAGCGAUAAGUUGUCCACCUGGGGAGUACGUUCGCAAGAAUGAAACUCAAAGGAAUUGACGGGGGCCCGCACAAGCGGAGGAACAUGUGGUUUAAUUCGAUGAUACGCGAGGAACCUUACCCGGGCUUGAAAGUUAGUGACGGAUCUUGAAAGAGGUCUUCCCUUCGGGGCACGAAACUAGGUGAUGCAUGGUUGUCGUCAGCUCGUGCCGUGAGGUGUCGGGUUAAGUCCCAUAACGAGCGCAACCCCUACCGUUAGUUGCCAGCAGGUCAAGCUGGGCACUCUGACGGGACUGCCGGUGUAAGCCGAGAGGAAGGUGGGGAUGACGUCAAAUCAGCACGGCCCUUACGUCCGGGGCUACACACGUGUUACAAUGGCAGGUACAGAGGGCAGCUACCCAGCGAUGGGAUGCGAAUCUCGAAAGCCUGUCUCAGUUCGGAUUGGAGGCUGAAACCCGCCUCCAUGAAGUUGGAUUCGCUAGUAAUCGCGCAUCAGCCAUGGCGCGGUGAAAACGUUCCCGGGCCUUGUACACACCGCCCGUCA
rnacentral:rRNA from 1 species